CGCAGUGGCGUUCGGCGGGACCCGCUGAGGCAAAGCGGAGCCGCAGUGACAGAAGCGAGGAGCUGGCCGCCUGGAGGGACUCACCGAGGCGCAGGGGCUGGAGGUGGUGCUGGGGGUGGGGCGCGCAGCCGAAGCAACCGUAGAGAAAAACGGAGGUGAAAAUCCCGAGGCCGACACGUUUUCUAGUGGAAAAGAGCUCCGCGGGUGUCAGACGCUCUCUCUGAGCUAGACCUCGGAGACCAGCCCACCCGCUUGGCCCUGGCCCUCAAAAGGGCUCUUCAUGAGCUUUCCCACCCUCCCCAUCAUAAAGGGCCUCACGGUUAACGACGAGACUUCCCCUAAGAAAGAUUUCCCCGUGGUAAACACUGGAAACUUCGUGGUACCCUCAUGCUUCCUCUACUACCUGCCUAAAGCCAGUCACUGUACCAGAGAAGAGAUGCUGAGGGGACCUGGGGGCACAGAGAGCUGGACCCUGAGUUGGAAAGCUCCAACCUGCUCUACACCUCCCAUUUGCUCCCUACUGUGAAGAUCUCCACUAACAAGGAUUUGCUCGGUUGAGCUUUCUUCUUUCCCCCUAAAUUCCAUUAUUUCAGAGAUGUGAAAACUGUAGAUUUAAAAUAUUUUAAAGGAAUACACUUCUAAAUGAUAAGCUGUUGGUAUCAAGAAUGUAAUGGAAAAAUCAAGAUUAAAAAGCAAAAAAAAAAAAAAAAGCCACACAGUGCAAACCGUUGAUAUUUACACAGAGACCGUUGAGUGGAUGAGCUGGUAAAUGCCACCGUCCAUCUCAAAGCUGUAGAAAACACACACUUAGGACUCUGCAGCUUCUAAAGCCCACCUCUUUCUGUUUGUCACUCAAACACUCUUGGAUCUCAUUGCUCCUUUUAAACUGACGGGGCUGUCGUGAGCUCUUUCUGGUUGCUGUGUGGUUAAGUGACACAAGAGCCCUCUUUGCUGAGUCUUUGUUCUCUCCCUGGGGCCCUGUGGUUGAAAUAAUUAGCAGGGAGGUUCCAUCAAGAGUCACCGAGGGUCCCCGUACUGUACAGUCCUCUGUCAAGUGUACUGCAGAGAAACCAGCUGUUAGGCUUUUGCCCCCUGGUGGUGAUCAAGAGUGCCUAAGAGACAAAAAUUAAAGAUCUAUGGUUCACAAACAAUGUUUUCCCCAGAGCUCCCCAGCAAACAGGAAAGAAAAGGCAAGGUUCAGAAAUAAGAACUUUGAACCAAUUCUUUAGAGACCAAACAGAAAACUAUGUAGAGAACCAAGAACUCUAUGUAGCUGAAAGAUGAAUGACCUCCAAUAAAUGUGUUUAUAAACCAAA